rnacentral:rRNA from 1 species
GACGAACGCUGGCGGCGUGCCUAAUACAUGCAAGUAGAACGCUGAAGAGAGGAGCUUGCUCUUCUUGGAUGAGUUGCGAACGGGUGAGUAACGCGUAGGUAACCUGCCUGGUAGCGGGGGAUAACUAUUGGAAACGAUAGCUAAUACCGCAUAAUAUUGACUAUUGCAUGAUAGUUGAUUAAAAGGUGCAAUUGCACCACUACCAGAUGGACCUGCGUUGUAUUAGCUAGUUGGUGGGGUAACGGCUCACCAAGGCGACGAUACAUAGCCGACCCGAGAGGGUGAUCGGCCACACUGGGACUGAGACACGGCCCAGACUCCUACGGGAGGCAGCAGUAGGGAAUCUUCGGCAAUGGACGGAAGUCUGACCGAGCAACGCCGCGUGAGUGAAGAAGGUUUUCGGAUCGUAAAGCUCUGUUGUAAGAGAAGAACGAGUGUGAGAGUGGAAAGUUCACAACUGUGACGGUAUCUACCCA